GACGAACGCUGGCGGCGUGCCUAACACAUGCAAGUCGAGCGGGGUUGAAGCGAGAGGUAACUCGAACUUCUACCUAGCGGCGGACGGGUGAGUAACGCGUGGGCAACCUGCCUCAAGGUCUGGGAUAACAGCCCGAAAGGGCUGCUAAUACCGGGUAUGCUUGUGGCCUCGCAUGGGGCUAUGAGCAAAGGGGAAACCCGCCUUGAGAUGGGCCCGCGUCCCAUCAGCUAGUUGGUGAGGUAACAGCUCACCAAGGCGACGACGGGUAGCCGGCCUGAGAGGGUGACCGGCCACACUGGGACUGAGACACGGCCCAGACUCCUACGGGGGGCAGCAGUGGGGGAUCUUGCACAAUGGGCGAAAGCCUGAUGCAGCGACGCCGCGUGAGCGAAGAAGGCUCGGUUGUAAAGCUCUGUCUGAGGGACGAAGGAAGUGACGGUACUCCGGAGGAAGCGACGGCUACUACGUGCCAGCAGCCGCGUAAGUCUCGUCUCUA
rnacentral:rRNA from 1 species